rnacentral:rRNA from 1 species
AGAUUGAACGCUGGCGGCAUGCCUAACACAUGCAAGUCGAACGGGAGUAGCAAUACUCUAGUGGCGGACGGGUGAGGAAUACGUAGGAAUUUGCCCUUAAGUGGGGGAUAACCCGGGGAAACCCGGAUUAAUACCGCAUGACCUCGAAAGAGCAAAGUGGGGGAUCGCAAGACCUCACGCUUUUGGAGAAGCCUACGUCGGAUUAGCUAGUUGGUGAGGUAAUGGCUCACCAAGGCGACGAUCCGUAACUGGUCUGAGAGGAUGAUCAGUCACACCGGAACUGAGACACGGUCCGGACUCCUACGGGAGCAGCAGUGGGGAAUAUGGACAAGUGGGCGCAAGCCUGAUCCGAGCAAUGCCGCGUGUGUGAAGGAAG